ACUUGCAGUAACUUUGAGGAGGCAUUGAGUAAGAAAACCUCAGGAGUUUCUACUAUAAACACAGAACCUGGGAUAACAUCAAGUCUUGAGCUGUGCAUAGAGUUUUAAGACAGUUGUCACAUCAAAAGAAAUGAAUUGCGAAACACAUAUAUAGCACAUCUUUAAGAAUCGUUUGUGAUCUGUAAGACAGAAGAAAUGUGAACGUCUUCCAAAGUGUUGUGAGUGGGAUCCCAUUUAACCUUAGAGACCCACUUAAACCAGAAGCAAAAACUCCCAGCAGAUAAUAAUGCAUGAGUUCCUUCUCUGAUCCUCACAAAUGGAAAAAUAUAUAUAUACCUGAAGUUUUCUACCACCAAAAUGAAAUUUAAUAUUUAAAGAAGGAAGUGGGACCCUAGAAGAUAAACUACCCCUCACACUUCAACCAAGCCAUAGCUGAAUCCACAGAGGAAUGGGGAGAUGAGCAAGAGUGCAGCUACCAUUCUGUUCCCGAUACUCAGAGCCAGGGUAUAGGAGACAGACUCUGAAGAUACUCAAUACCUAUCAAAGUAGAGAUCCAUAGGCUCCUAAGAGCUUAUCACUGAAAUAGAAUUAAAACUCACCCACCAUGGCUCAGGAAGUUUUGUGGAAGAGGGAAGAGUAGGUGGAAAGAUUGUAAGAGUCACAGGUUAGGACAUAAUAACCUGAGGUAUUCCUUCUUCCCCAAAAUAACUGGCUUCUUCUCCCACCAUGCAUAAACUACAACUUCAUGGGGAA